rnacentral:rRNA from 1 species
UACGAAGGGGGCUAGCGUUGUUCGGAAUUACUGGGCGUAAAGGGCGCGUAGGCGGCGAUUCAAGUCAGGCGUGAAAGGCCUGGGCUCAACCCGGGAACUGCGUUUGAUACUGGAUUGCUGGAGUCCGGGAGAGGAUGGCGGAAUUCCCAGUGUAGAGGUGAAAUUCGUAGAUAUUGGGAAGAACACCGGUGGCGAAGGCGGCCAUCUGGACCGGAACUGACGCUGAGGCGCGAAAGCGUGGGGAGCAAACAGGG